rnacentral:rRNA from 1 species
UACGGAGGAUGCAAGCGUUAUCCGGAAUGAUUGGGCGUAAAGCGUCCGCAGGUGGCUAUGUAAGUCUGCUGUUAAAGAGUGAGGCUCAACCUCAUAAGAGCAGUGGAAACUACAUGGCUAGAGUGCGUUCGGGGCAGAGGGAAUUCCUGGUGUAGCGGUGAAAUGCGUAGAGAUCAGGAAGAACACCGGUGGCGAAAGCGCUCUGCUAGGCCGCAACUGACACUUAUGGACGAAAGCUAGGGGAGCGAAUGGG